UAACACCAGGAAGCUGGCAGUAGAAUGGGGCUGUACUGAGGGAGCCUCUAGCCGUUCUCUGGAUGCGGGGGAAGAAUGGGAAAUUAGGUAGAGAGUGUACAGGAGAAGGCACAGGGGAAAAGCAGCAAGGAUUAAGAUGGUGCAAAGUUUGGCUGUUGAUUAGAGGGUCCUUGAGCUAGAACCCAGAAUAGAAGUGGCACCAAUUUGGGCAGUGGCUGGAGGGCCAAGACACCCUGAGUCACAAAGAGAGAGAACACAAAAGGCAGCAGUAUGUGCAGUGAGCAGUAGAAGGGACGUCAGACCUGGAAAGAGAAAAUUCCCAGAUGUGGUGGCCUGGAUACAGAAUAGAGACUGUGCUGAUUGUGUCUGGAGAUGUUGCAAUAACUGGCCUACAAAUUUACCUUAUCUCAACUGUAAAAAAUCACAUCACAUAGAUGAUCAAGAAGUACUGUGCAGCCACAAACUGUCAAGUGUAUGAGCAGUGGAGCAACAAAAGCCACCUGCUUUCCGAGUAAUAACUUUGACCAAACUACCAGAAUAAUGUUGCUACUGCAGGCCUCAUGUCAUCUUGUUAUAAUCAUGUCUUCAUGUGACAUUUCACUGGGGCUGUCUUGCUGCAGCAAAAUCGCAUCACAUUAGAUCUGGUUACGCACAUCAUGGAGCGUGAUAUUUGGGCUUGGAUAUGUCAUUUCUGUUGUUGUUCAGUGCAAGAGUCUGGCUUUAUGGUUUCUAACUCCAGGCUCCCUACAUGGAAUAUUGGUCUAAGUUAAAAUUCAUGACAGAAGAUGUGUGACCAGAUGAGAUGUCACCAUAAUCAGACAUCACAGAUUGAAUUCAAUGUCCUGAAUGAACCUUCCAUACAAGGAUUAGGUAGUACCACACUACAUGCAAAAUAAAAAAAUAUAUGUAGGCCAAAAGACACUAGUGACUCUUUGAUCAGGAUUGGCAUAAUCUAGUGAAUGUUGUAAAUAAACAGGGCAAGCAACCCAAAAGUCUGUCUCUCAACUUCAGCAUAGAACAUGCUGCAGUAAUUGAAGAGCAAAUAAUAAUCCAAUAUUAAUAACCCGAAACUUCACAUCACAAGUGGGUGAGAUGGGCUUCCUUUGCCUUAGCUUCACUAACUAGAGAAUGCACUGAGCAAAAGCCGCUUCUCAGCUUUUCUAAAGAAUUGAUUUGCUAAUUUUAAGAUAUUUUGAUUUAUUUCUAACCUGGUUAUGUGAUAGUUGACCACAAACAAAGUGCAUAAAUAUCCACAAGGAUAUUAUUUCUGGGAUUUUACAGACACUACUUUUACCACAAAAAGAAAUUGUUUUUCAUGCUGUAGGCUUUGAAAGAUGGUAAAGAAAUUUUCCCUGCUAAGAAGGAUUAGUUGAGAAGCAAUCAUUAGAUUUUCUUACUGGCAAAUUGUAGUGGAAUAAGUGUAUUAUUCUGAGAUGUCCCUAGGCACAAUUCUUUGCUGCUUCUGUGUUUGUGCUACCAACAUAUAGAGCAUUAAGUGUUGUUAGGGGUCAGACACAUGACUGCAUAAGAAUAGUACCAAUCUUAAUGGUUCUCUUCUGUGUAUAUAUUCAGAGUCAUAUCUACUAUCUACAGUGACAAAAAAUAUUUUGCUACCUUUUUCCCUAUAGCACUGUGGAACCAAUGCAACUAUGAGAGUCUUAAUUCCAUUUUGACUCCCAGACCAUGAACAGAAUCAUUUAUUUAUGCUUCAGUUGGUAAUCUUUAUUACUAGAGGAGCACAGCUUAACUUUUAGUGGAUCUUAGUGGGGGUUUGUUGGGCUGGUAGUUAGAAAAUACUAUUCUUCUCUCUGUAAACAAAAUAAAUGGAAGUCAAUGAGAGAAUAAAGAUGGAACUACAAAAUACCGUCAUUACAUAUACCGUAAGGACCCACCCAUGCCUCAUGGAAAACUUGUAAAGGUAUUCUGUACAGAGAAAAAAUUAGUCAUGUAUAUUUUCACUGGGUGGGGAGAUUUGAAAGCACUUGAGAACAAGAAUGUUGUUCAAUGAGGAUACAUCUUUUUCUGCUGCUUAUUCUUCAUGUGAAAUCAUAUGUCUUUUCUUUGUAACACUGCAGUCAGUUGCUGUGGAGAUUAUUAUGAUGCCACAGAGAAUGACUAGUCUGCAGCUGACAAAUUAAGAGCUGGAGCAGAUGAACUGCAUUAAUAUAUCUUGUUUAUAUCUUUCAAAAAAUUUACAAACUGCAAGUAGCUGGUGUUUCUAACCUGGUAAAUCUUGAUCUCCCAACUGUUUUCUUAACAUAUCCACAUUGUAUUUAUCUCAACCUGUCUUUCUGACAUCAUCUUGUGCAUGCCCAAUCAUCAGUGAAGCUCCACAUGAUCAAAAAAGAACUCAC